AUGGGGAAUGCCCAACAUCAACUCCAGGCUCUAAAUUACAGGCGGACGCUGUGCAAAGUGCUUUUCCAGGAGAUGCACAUGUGGUCUCAUUAUAUUUCUCACAAUAGGCCAACCGGAGCUCCCUCCCCAGGUCUCAGUCUCGCACUACCAAAACCCAAGUGUACUGAGAACAAAAUCUUGCGGACGGAUUCAAGCAAACAGGCACCACCGCGGUGGCGGUGCAGCCAGUCCUGCUGCCUUACCUGGAGGGAGGACCGGGAGGUGGUGCAGGUCUCCGUUCCCACUGCUCUCCCCACGCGGACCCGCGCGAGGCACACGUCCUCUCGCUGCCUCUGCUCUUGGAGGGGCAGCCUGCAACACAAAAGGGGUGUGUGGGUGUACACACACCCCUUGGGGCGCUGAGCCCCUAUCUCAGCUGAGCACCACCCUGAAGGGCUUGCCCAGGGUGCAGCCUCAAGUUGCCGCUGCUAAGUGCUGCUGCUGCCACCGCUGCAGAAGAAGAAGGUGGAAAGACAGUGGGGGCAGUACUCGAUCUAGAGCAUCCCCACACUGCAGCUUCUCCAGGAAUCCCUCCAGUGAGGAGGCGGCCGCCCAUCAUCUCCCAGCCCCGGCUGCGUGAUUGGUUCCACCUCGGGUACGCUACGCCAAGGAGCCAAUCCGGGCUCACUAAUAAUAGGUGGAUCCGCUCAGCCAACAGCGCCCAUCCCAGUUCUGUUAGUGUCUCUCCAUCCCCACAGCGGACAGGGACUUGAGGAGGGGGGUUGAGGAGGGUUGGGGGAGGGCGGUGAACUAAAGAGGGGAACAGAUACCAAGGAGACACAAUCAAGGGCAUCCAGUAAACCCUCUGGGUGGGCGCAGGAAUGCCCCGCAACCUGUUCUGCAAGCCAUAUACACAGGAGAAGGAGCCAGCAUAAUACAAAGCUUUUUUUUUUUUUUUUUUUUUUUUUUUUACUUUCAAUCAAAACCUGUCCUGAUACUGAGCAUGCCCAGACUGCAACAGCGACUUAGGAGUUCCGAGGUGUGUGGGUCACAGACUGUGGGUUUUUGAAAAGAUGGAAGCGGGGGAGAGGCAGAAGUUUGUCUUUGGCCGUUUGACCCGGCAGAGUUGUGAAAGCAGAGCAGGGCGGGGAGUGUCCUCCAACUGAGCCACGGGGAGGUGGCCCUGUGGACUGUCGGAGGCUAAUCAUAUUAUUCUGUCGAGCUCUGGGGUGGAAGCGGGGCUAGAAUGAUCCGAGCCUUGCUAGAUGCCUGGAGACUUCUCGUGAAGGGUGCGGCGGACAGGGAUGCAGGGGAAGCUCCGUCCCGUAGGUGGGGCCGGGGAGCGCGACUCCACCCCGCGGCCGGCUCCAGGCGGGGGAGAGCGCGCUGGGAGUUUCCACCGCAGCGACCAAUAAGUUUGUAGACUUGGGUCAAGCGCGACAUUGUUGGGGAUGCAGUUCUUGCCGGCCCCCUCCCCCAUCUCUCUCCACCCCUUGCCAGCGCAGUGACGACUAAAGCGUGGGUCCCCUCCCUCCUUCCUCUCUUUCCCCUGAACGAUUCUGCUAGGAAGUAAGAAGCUUUUCCCUUGUGAGAGCGGCGCUGACCUGAUUGUCACUAAGCUCUAGAGCAAUUUAUAGCUUGGUAAUAACGAGGGCUACUAAACUGGGAGGCUCAGCGGGUGGGGGAAGGGACUGCGAGCUAGGCGAGGGGCGGAGCGGAACCCGGCUCCGGGGUGGGAGCGAGUCCAUUCUCUGCUCCACAGGUGAAAGGCUUUCAAAAUGCAAAGAAGUAUUUCCUUUCUCACUCACUGACCUUGUUUAACGGCCUUUGAACUUCUGAUUUGUUUUGUUUAGAAAUCCUAGCUGUUUGUGUAAACUUGGUCAAUAGCUACAAAUGAGAACUCUCCUAAUUGAGCUCUUUAUUUUACUAUGAAGAUUAUCAUGACAUCUCAAGUAAGGAAAUAAAUAUCUCAAUUCCCCAAACCCA
rnacentral:lncRNA from 1 species